rnacentral:rRNA from 1 species
CCUACGGGCGGCAGCAGUGAGGAAUAUUGGUCAAUGGGCGGAAGCCUGAACCAGCCAAGCCGCGUGAGGGAGGAAGGUACAGAGUAUCGUAAACCUCUUUUGUCAGGGAACAAAGGCGGGGACGUGUCCCCGGAUGAGUGUACCUGAAGAAAAAGCAUCGGCUAACUCCGUGCCAGCAGCCGCGGUAAUACGGAGGAUGCGAGCGUUAUCCGGAUUUAUUGGGUUUAAAGGGUGCGCAGGCGGUCUGUUAAGUCAGCGGUCAAAGCCCGGGGCUCAACCCCGGCCCGCCGUUGAAACUGGCAGUCUCGAGUUGGAGAGAAGUAGGCGGAAUGCGCGGUGUAGCGGUGAAAUGCAUAGAUAUCGCGCAGAACUCCGAUUGCGAAGGCAGCAUGCCGGCUCCACACUGACGCUGAGGCACGAAAGCGUGGGUAUCGAACAGGAUUAGAUACCCGGGUAAUC